GACGAACGCUGGCGGCGUGCUUUAUACAUGCAAGUCGAACGAUGAAGUUCCUUCGGGAAUGGAUUAGUGGCGAACGGGUGAGGAACACGUGAGAAACCUGCCUUUCAUUCUGGGAUAACACCGGGAAACCGGUGCUAAUACCGGAUACUCCGUCUUGGCGGCAUCGUCGAGCCGGGAAAAAAUUUUGAUGAAAGAUGGUCUCGCGGCCUAUCAGCUAGUUGGUGAGGUAAUGGCUCACCAAGGCGACGACGGGUAGCCGGCCUGAGAGGGCGACCGGCGAAACUGGGACUGAGACACGGCCCAGACUCCUACGGGAGGCAGCAGUAGGGAAUAUUGGGCAAUGGGCGAAAGCCUGACCCAGCGACGCCGCGUGAGGGAUGAAGGUCUUCGGAUUGUAAACCUCUUUCAGUAGGGAAGAAGCGAAAGUGACGGUACCUAAAGAAGAAGCACCGGCUAACUAUGUGCCAGCAGCCGCCGUAA
rnacentral:rRNA from 1 species